rnacentral:rRNA from 1 species
AACAGAUUUACUUCGGUAAUGACGUUAGGAAAGCGAGCGGCGGAUGGGUGAGUAACACGUGGGGAACCUGCCCCAUAGUCUGGGAUACCACUUGGAAACAGGUGCUAGUACCGGAUAAGAAAGCAGAUCGCAUGAUCAGCUUUUAAAAGGCGGCGUAAGCUGUCGCUAUGGGAUGGCCCCGCGGUGCAUUAGCUAGUUGGUAAGGUAAAGGCUUACCAAGGCGAUGAUGCAUAGCCGAGUUGAGAGACUGAUCGGCCACAUUGGGACUGAGACACGGCCCAAACUCCUACGGGAGGCAGCAGUAGGGAAUCUUCCACAAUGGACGCAAGUCUGAUGGAGCAACGCCGCGUGAGUGAAGAAGGUUUUCGGAUCGUAAAGCUCUGUUGUUGGUGAA